rnacentral:lncRNA from 1 species
GUCAACAUGAGUCAUAAGUGAGCUAGGAUAGAGACCCACAAAAACCCUUUUCAAGUAAUUAGAUAUAGUCAUCGAUGGUGUUAAACUUCAGUUUAUGCGGUAAUUAUAUAGUAUUAAAUAAUAGAUUCAUUUAAAUGCAUAAACACAUAACUCAUCUAACUAAACAUAUAAAAUGUAACAACCUAAAUUGGUAUUUAGUACCGGCUUUAUUCUUAGAUAUUUACAAGAUAUAUGAAUGUGCGGUCCAACAUCGAAUCAGAAAUGGCAGCAGGCACCAGCUAGGCUUCUUUAUUAGAAUUGCAUGAAGGACAUUAUGCUUGGACACUGACAACCGAACUCCAAAACAAACAACUCUAUUGAUAGAGAUUUACCUUUCUUUCGCUAUCUAACACAUGGAGCAGCAGCAUGAUCUUAAUGGCACGCCCACACCGGAGAGUGAAGGAGAGGCAGGGGAUAGCAACUAGCUAUUAUCUACUGCUUUUUUCACUCAUAAUUUGAACCCAAUAUUGCAUUGGAAUUGUGUUGUCCAAAAAAGUAUGCAUAAAUAAUUAAUAUUAGCACUUGAAAAUAAUUGAUUGUUGACUCUCCAUAUGUCCAUUUCAGCAUAUAAGUUUAUUUCACGCGCAAAAAAAAAAAAGGAAAAGAAUCAUCAGCUUUUUAAAAGGGACAUGUGAUAUUCUACAAAUUGAUAAUAAUAAUAAUAAUAAUAAUAAUUUUCACCAACUAAAUACACAUCAACCUUAUCAAAAUAUUUACAACAUGAAAAUUAUAACUGAACUUUCACAAUUUGUGAAAACUUUGGUGGAUUACAAUAAGUUUCCCGAAACAAUUAUCUAUUGAACUUUUAAUUUUUCUUUGAGAAAAAAAUGAACAAUGAAACAAUCGUAAAAGAUGUAAAUACGACCAUAAUACUAGUCCCUAAUUAGUUCUGCUAGAGAAAUUAAGGGCGGCAUUCAAUACCAAAUCUAAGAAAUAAAGAGAGUAACCAGGGAAGUACUUCCAAAAAAUUGUUUAAUUUCUUAGUUUUAAAAGUAACUUUUAAAUUUUUAAAAAUUCUACCAAAAAGGCUCUAUUUCAAUUCAUCAAACCAAACAAUACAUCUAGAAUAUUAAUGAUAAUUUACGGGUUACAGUGUAAUAAUGGCAAAUAAUACAAGAAACAAUUAAAUGCCAAUGAAAAAGUUGGAAACAGAUCAGACUGACAUGUAAUAAACAGAUUAUCCAGGGAGGUGGCAGCCUUAGAAUAAUAGAAAAUAUUGUCGUCAUUCCCUAAGUUUUACAAUAAUUGGAAAAAAAAAAUCAAUAAUUGAAAAACUAAAGUAAACACAUCAUUGAUCCCCCGUUUGGCCCCAUUUUUCAGAAUAAAAACGGGUAGAGUAGUGUUUUUCUAAAAAAUAAGUGGUUGAAAAAAAAAAAAAGUUUUCAC